UAGCUAGUUGGUGAGGUAACGGCUUACCAAGGCGACGAUCUGUAGCGGGUCUGAGAGGAUGAUCCGCCACACUGGAACUGAGACACGGUCCAGACUCCUACGGGAGGCAGCAGUGGGGAAUUUUGGACAAUGGGGGCAACCCUGAUCCAGCCAUGCCGCGUGAGUGAAGAAGGCCUUCGGGUUGUAAAGCUCUUUCGGCCGGGAAGAAAUCGCAUGGGCCAAUACCCUGUGUGGAUGACGGUACCGGAAUAAGAAGCACCGGCUAACUACGUGCCAGCAGCCGCGGUAAUACGUAGGGUGCGAGCGUUAAUCGGAAUUACUGGGCGUAAAGCGUGCGCAGGCGGUUUUGUAAGACAGGCGUGAAAUCCCCGGGCUCAACCUGGGAACUGCGUUUGUGACUGCAAGGCUAGAGUACGGCAGAGGGGGGUGGAAUUCCACGUGUAGCAGUGAAAUGCGUAGAGAUGUGGAGGAACACCAAUGGCGAAGGCAGCCCCCUGGGUCGAUACUGACGCUCAUGCACGAAAGCGUGGGUAGCAAACAGGAUUAGAUACCCUGGUAGUCCACGCCCUAAACUAUGUCAACUAGGUGUUGGGUGGGUAAAACCAUUUAGUACCGUAGCUAACGCGUGAAGUUGACCGCCUGGGGAGUACGGCCACAAGGUUAAAACUCAAAGGAAUUGACGGGGACCCGCACAAGCGGUGGAUGAUGUGGAUUAAUUCGAUGCAACGCGAAAAACCUUACCUACCCUUGACAUGCCAGGAACUUGCCAGAGAUGGCUUGGUGCCCGAAAGGGAGCCUGGACACAGGUGCUGCAUGGCUGUCGUCAGCUCGUGUCGUGAGAUGUUGGGUUAAGUCCCGCAACGAGCGCAACCCUUGUCGUUAAUUGCCAUCAUUUAGUUGGGCACUUUAGCGAGACUGCCGGUGACAAACCGGAGGAAGGUGGGGAUGACGUCAAGUCCUCAUGGCCCUUAUGGGUAGGGCUUCACACGUCAUACAAUGGUCGGUACAGAGGGUCGCCAAGCCGCGAGGUGGAGCCAAUCCCAGAAAGCCGAUCGUAGUCCGGAUUGCAGGCUGCAACUCGCCUGCAUGAAGUCGGAAUCGCUAGUAAUCGUGGAUCAGCAUGUCACGGUGAAUACGCUCCCGGGUCUUGUACACACCGCCCGUCACACCAUGGGAGCGGGUUCCGCCAGAAGUAGGUAGCCUAACCGCAAGGAGGGCGCUUACCACGGCGGGGUUCGUGACUGGGGCGAAGUCGUAACAAGGUAGCCGUAGGGGAACCUGCGGCUG
rnacentral:rRNA from 1 species